AUGGCCUGGGUUCCUGUCCUCCUUGUGAUCCUCUGUUACUGCACAGGUUCCCGGUCCCAGCCUGUGCUGACCCAGCCAUCAUUCCUCUCUGCAUCUCUGGGAACGACUGCCAGACUCACCUGCACCCUGAGCAGGGACAUCAACGUGGGCAGCUAUACCAUUUACUGGUACCAGCAGAUGCCUGGGAGCUCUCCCCGGUAUCUCCUGUACUACUCCUCAAGUACACAGUUGGGAUCCGGGGUCUCCAACCGCUUCUCUGGAUCCAAAGAUUCCUCGGCCAAUGCAGGGCUUCUGCUAAUCUCUGGGCUGCAGCCUGAAAACGAGGCUGACUACUACUGUGCAGUCUGGGCCAGUGGUGUUGGGCACAGUGACACACACAGAUGA